rnacentral:rRNA from 1 species
CAUCAUGCCCCUUAUGAUUUGGGCUACACACGUGCUACAAUGGACAAUACAAAGGGCAGCGAAACCGCGAGGUCAAGCAAAUCCCAUAAAGUUGUUCUCAGUUCGGAUUGUAGUCUGCAACUCGACUACAUGAAGCUGGAAUCGCUAGUAAUCGUAGAUCAGCAUGCUACGGUGAAUACGUUCCCGGGUCUUGUACACACCGCCCGUCACACCACGAGAGUUUGUAACACCCGAAGCCGGUGGAGUAACCUUUUAGGAGCUAGCCGUCGAAGGUGGGACAAAUGAUUGGGGUGAAGUCGUAACAAGGUAGCCGUAUCGGAAGGUGCGGCUGGAUCCCCUCCUUUCUAAGGA